GACGAACGCUGGCGGCGUGCUUAACACAUGCAAGUCGAACGGAAAGGCGCUGCUUUUGUGGGGUGCUCGAGUGGCGAACGGGUGAGUAACACGUGAGUAACCUGCCCUUGACUUUGGGAUAACUUCAGGAAACUGGGGCUAAUACCGGAUAGGAGCUCCUGAUGCAUGGUGGGGGUUGGAAAGUUUCGGCGGUUGGGGAUGGACUCGCGGCUUAUCAGCUGGUUGGUGGGGUAGUGGCUUACCAAGGCUUUGACGGGUAGCCGGCCUGGGAGGGUGGCCGGCCACCUUGCGCCUGAGAUACGCCCCAGUCUCCUACGUUAGGCAGUAGUCGAGAGUAUUGCACAAUGGGCCCAAGCCUGAUGCAGCAACCCCCCGUGCGUGAUGCCCUCCUUCGGGUUGUAAACCGCUUUCUCCUGUGACGAAGCGUGAGUGACGGUAAUGGGUAAAGAAGCACCGGCUAACUACGUG
rnacentral:rRNA from 1 species